ensembl:lncRNA
AUCAGGCCGGUAACAGAUACAUUCAGUCAAGUUGUAAAAAUCACAUACAUAAAUCAACCUGUAUGAGUAUUAAAGAUUUAUGUUAUUAGGGUGUCCUCUACUGACGUUUAUUAUAUUUUAGAGGUAUUCUCAAGAGACGCCCCACAGGGGAUACCCAACCUUUAAAAACUAAAAGUUUUGUCAUACUCGUUACCUGCAAAUUAUCUUCAAGCCGUGCUACGUUACAAUCCAACAAUAGCGAAACAAUGCCUGACAAAUACCAGGGUGAGUUUUUUUAUUUAUCUAUUUAUUUAUUUAUUUAUUUAUACAAAUGAUUUAAAUAUAUUUUAAAGUGAAUAUUUGUUUAAUGUGUCGUGGUUGAUUUCUAGGUGGUUUUGAGAAUCAGGACUUCGAUGAAGGUUUGGAUCAGAUCCUUGAAGAGUUAUUUGAUGAGAACGUGUUGUUUGUCUGUGAUGAACCCGGUGCUGUUAAUAACGACGAACAAGCUGUUGUCAACAAUCAGGAGCUGAUAACCCCGCCAGAAAUCGUAGCACAAGAGGUUGAGAUUAGCGCCGAAUCACAACACGCCCUAGGACACGUCACAAAUCCUGCCUCCGCAGACGCACCGGCUCCCGAGGGAGCUUCUCACAAACUCCCAGAUAUCUCAAGCGUUCGCACCGAAGAUAGCGUUACGUGUAGGCCGCGACACUCGGAGGGUCAGGGGGUGAAACGUUUGAGGUUACCGGAGGGGGGAACGGACGAUAUACCAACCACCAGUCGUUUAAGGACUUCGGAGAAUAACGAGCAAGGAUAUGACGAAGGAGGGCUAACAGCCUGGAGCGAUUCUAUGGUGAGCGCCUGGGAUCGUGCGUCUUUUAACGAUUCGGCAAGCGAGGAGGAGACGGAAGAGCUACCUAACGAGGACCCUCAAGAGCUGUUCCGUGAACGUGAUUUAAAUAGAAGGCUUGAUUAUGAUAUGCUUCGCCGUGUUAAUCGACGGUUUGACACACUUUUCGAUUUGAGCGGUCAAGCAUUGUCCUAUCGGGGUGCAGAAGAGAUCGUCGGUAAUGCACAAAGUGAUGUGGUGGCGAUUUUGAGGAACAUCAUUGAGUGUCAACAACAGCUCAACGAAUCCUUGCGUCACGCGGCUGAAUUUUGGAGAAGUUGCCACGAACAGCUAUAUGGUGAAUUUCGACAGUUUCAACAGCGCAUGAGCGGGGUACCGGGAGAAAUCCACCAGGUACAAGUUGAACAAAAUUUAUCUGUUAAUGCUCUUACUCUGAUCACGGAACGUUUAAAUCUAAUGCAAAGAAUGUUAUCAGAUUUGUACCGGCGUGAUCACCCUUGAUAUGUAUUGUAUUGUAUUGUUGUUUUUUAUCGUUAUUAAUUGCUUCGAUUCGCUAUUACCACCAAAUAUUUCUUACAUUAUUGUUUGUUAUUUCUUACAUGUAUUAUUGUUUUGUUCUUGGUACUGAAUUAUCAUUAGUUUCUUUCAUUUAUUAAUAUCGUCUGUUGUCAUUGAUUUAUACCGUAUUGCAUGUUAUUGUUUCCCACAUUAGGCGUUGUUUUACUUGUGGAGAAAAUGGGGUUUUGAAUUUAUACCUGCUGUAUGUUUCUGUUUUUUGUCAUCUAUAUCGCAUUGUGAAUCGUUGUUGGUGUUUUCAGGAGUAUGCACGCUUGUCUUUAAAAUUUAAAAAAGGUGUGUUUUCGAUUUAAAAUAAAUAAAAAUAAUAAUUCAAAAAUGAGUAGUAAAAGAUGUCACGAUGAUUUACAUACCCACACUUCAGAAGAUGAUCAGAGACCAUUAAGGCCCAGAUAUGAUUUUCAAAACAAUACACAACAGUUACAUGAAAUUAUUAACAAUCAUUUACAGAUGUUACCACCUAAUCCUCUUAACAUGAUAGAUAGAUUACACGAACUUAUAGACGAACAACACGAAUGGUUGGGUGCCGCUGUAGACAGCGACGAUCAGGUCGGCGCUGGACCUUCUAAUAACGAAUCCUCAGGUUACGAUCCCACAGCUCCUGAUAUGGGUCUCAGUCAGCAAUACAUAGAUAGACUAGUGAGAGAAGGAGGUAGUGUGGGUGAUUUUACGAUUGUCCCAAGACCUCGAUUUAAUGGUUUAGAAAUUCGCAGAACUUUAAAUUUUCGUGAAAUAGCGACAGAUGAUUUUGCAGCGUAUAAUAUAUUUUUACAUGAUAUUUUGAACGAGAUUGUUACGCUUUCCAGAUUAUUAGCUGGCGAGGGGGGUUUUUUUAACAUCUCUCUGCAAGGUGCAAGUCUGCCCACAGAUAUUAAUGCCGUUCUAACGCCUGAUAACAAUCACGACGUUAAUGUAUUUGUAGACCAAAUCGAACGAACCGUUCAAAGCAAUACGGAUGUGGCUUUUGAUACCGCUUUAGAGUUAUGUGUCUCUGUAGCGCGAAACAAACAAGGUGGUGUUGGUGCGCGUAGGAAGUUGACAGAACUGGCGCAUAAUCAGGUCAUACAGAAAAAUAGAAUGCAUUUGUUUGUCCCCCAAAACGUCACAGACAAUAUGUGUUUUAGUGCGUGCAUAGCUCACUUUCUAAAUCCGCAGUGUAACGACGCUGAAUUGAUGACAUUAACCAGAAAUAUACAUACCGAUCUGGGUUACGAUCCACAAGAUAAAAUUGCGUUGCAUGAUGUUUCUAAAUUUGAAGCAUUUCUAGACUUGAAAAUAGUUAUCUUUCACAGAUCUGAUUCAGGUAAAUUGGAAGUGUAUAAAAAUACGGAUGAGCCGCAUCACAAGACGUUGCAUUUG